AUUAGUUGGUUCGAUACACCCUAGGUGCGCUCCAAUUCCUCCAAGAACACAAAUAAUCCUUCAAGGUUCAAAUCAACAAAUUCUUGUAAUCUCAAAUUUAUAACUACGAUUCAGGUGGUCCAUUGGCCAGACUGGUUUUCCUAAUAUUCUAAUUCCUUUCGUAUGUGGUCCAGUGGACAGACUGGUUUUCUUGGACUUUGGGGAGAGAAAGUGGAUGCUAUUCAAUAUCACAUAACUGAAAUUGAGAAACUGAAAGAUCAGGACGUGAUUUCCAUGUGAAAUUUUCGGUCGCAGUCCAACCCGUCAGAACUGAAAACCGUCUGUAUACCGAGCAUGGACGGUACCAAUUUUCGGCAGCAUUCGUUAUGGUCUUAUGGGUCAGUCUACGUAGCCAUGGUGAAACCAUUCCAAUGUUGGUUGCAUUUGUAAGGGUGUCAUGAUUCUUUGUGGUUAUCAAGGUGGAACAUCAUCCAUGACGACGAUCCAAGAAAGGAAAAUCAUCAUCAUCACCAUGGUAAUUCAACUCGGAAAUUUGGUCAUCAUGAUCAUCAUCACCAUCGUAAUGCAAAUCGUCAAUCUCUUCAUCUUCCGAAUCGCUAAGCACGAUCACCUCCUCCCACUUCCAAUUUUUCAAGUUAUCCUCACGUUUUUGUUUUUUGAAAUCGAAGGUAUCAUCGUGUUUUUGUUUUUUUGCAUGGUUGGAUGACAAGGUAACAUUUGUUUUGUUGUUUGGAGCCAUUCUUGUGGAAAGUGUUUGUAUUAGUGAUUUGUAAAUCUUGUGAUUGAUUAGUGAAG